AUGUUGGCGUUUCGGGAUACAUUGGAAGUGUGCAACCUUCUGGACCUUGGCUUCUCCGGUGUUCCAUUCACGUAUGAUAACAAACGUCAUGGUGCAGCAAAUGUACAAGUUCGGUUGGAUAGAGCAGUAGCGACUGUGACUUGGCGGCAUUUGUUUGCUUUCUCGUCGGUGGUGCAUGUGGUCUCGCCUUGUUCUGACCAUGUUGCGCUGCUACUCAAGGGUGAGCCGGGCACGGGUCAAACAACCGUUCGGAACCGCAGAUAUGAGGUGUUCUGGGAACGAGAUGAGGGCCUCCCAGAUGUUAUAAAAGAUGCUUGGUCCUCUGUUGGAGCUGUUUAGAAUAUGGCGCAGUUGCAGAAGGCUUUGGAAAAGACUAUGGAUGCACUCCGGUUAUGGAGUAGGAAAUUUGGUAAUAUUUUGAGGGAACUUGCAAAAUCACGUACAUAG
rnacentral:rRNA from 1 species